rnacentral:rRNA from 1 species
ACGCACGCUGGCGGCGUGCUUAACACCUGCCAGUCGAACGGAAAGGCCCUGCUUGCAGGGUACUCGAGUGGCGAACGGGUGAGUAACACGUGGGUGAUCUGCCCUGCACUUCGGGAUAAGCCUGGGAAACUGGGUCUAAUACCGGAUAGGAGCCAUUUUUAGUGUGAUGGUUGGAAAGUUUUUUCGGUGUAGGAUGAGCUCGCGGCCUAUCAGCUUGUUGGUGGGGUAAUGGCCUACCAAGGCGGCGACGGGUAGCCGGCCUGAGAGGGUGGACGGCCACAUUGGGACUGAGAUACGGCCCAGACUCCUACGGGAGGCAGCAGUGGGGAAUAUUGCACAAUGGGCGCAAGCCUGAUGCAGCGACGCCGCGUGGGGGAUGACGGCCUUCGGGUUGUAAACUCCUUUCGCUAGGGACGAAGCUUUUUGUGACGGUACCUAGAUAAGAAGCACCGGCUAACUACGUG